rnacentral:rRNA from 1 species
UACGUAGGGUGCAAGCGUUGUCCGGAAUUAUUGGGCGUAAAGAGCUCGUAGGCGGUUUGUCGCGUCGAAUGUGAAAACCCGGGGCUCAACCCCGGGCCUGCAUUCGAUACGGGCAGACUAGAGUUCGGUAGGGGAGUCUGGAAUUCCUGGUGUAGCGGUGAAAUGCGCAGAUAUCAGGAGGAACACUGGUGGCGAAGGCGGGACUCUGGGCCGAUACUGACGCUGAGGAGCGAAAGCGUGGGGAGCGAACAGG